AGCCUGGGUGCCACAAAGACCGAGUUUUCCAUCUGAACAAAAUGAGAUUUGAAAAGAACUUCACAAAUGACAAAACAAGUGUUCAGAUUUAGAGAAAGUUAGCCAGAGGCAAUGGGUCAAGCCCAGACGAAGCUUCUGAGGUACUGUACAUGAUAUGGUCCUUCAAACUGCAAAUAUGUUUCUGCAAAUGUUUUAUGAUAUAUUUACAUCAAAUAAGUAAGUAUAUGAAAAUUGCAAGGAUCAUUAAAGUUAAUAAGAAUUAAUACAUACACACUAAAGAACAUAUUUACUUCACUGUUGACAUGGUUUAGUGUUGUAUUAACACUAAUUAAGCACAAAAUACUGGACAACUCAGAGUGAAUACUGAGGAGUAUUUUCAAAUUCUUUGUUCCUGAAGCAGUUUACAUUAUGAUCAAAAUAACAGUCGAUAAUAGACAUAAAUAGCAUUACUUAGGGGCUGUGUCUUCUUGUAAUCUAUGUACAGUAUUUGCUUGUAUUUCCUCAUUUGUAAGUCGCUCAAACAUCUGCUAAAUUAAUAAAUGUAAUAUAAGUGUAAAAUGUUCAGUAUAUAUCAAGGUUGAUGCAUUAUACUUUGUCUUAUUAUUAAUAACAAAACUUACCUGCAUCAGAAUGCUUAGCUAAGUACUUAAUAACUAGCAUAUUAGCACAUAGCAGAAUUGUAAAAAGAUGGGGUUAGAUUACAUACAUUGUGGAAACAUCUUUCAGAAAUGGCUUUAAAAGCACCCUUCUUGACUUAAUACUGAAGUAUUUAUGACAUGAGUUCCUAUUAUAUCAAAUAAGUAGAUGUUUACUAUGCUUAAAUUUCUGUAAUAUUUAUUAAAAAAAAAUUAUUUUACCUUUAUUUUAUCAGGAAGUCCCACUGAGAUCAAAUGAUCUCUUUUACAAGAGAGACCUGGCCAAGGUAGCAGCCAUGCAAACUCACAAUAAAAACACAACAUGUACAACAUGUCUUUAAACAACGAAACAUUUGGCCAAAAACAAUUACACGUCUCCUUCACCACAUUAUUUUUGAUUGCCUUAAAUUCAUCAAUAGAUAUAAGAGUAUUCAGAUUUGAAUAUUUUUGCAAUUUCUUCCAUGUCCAAGGUGCAUAAUAGGAAAAAAGGAGUUUUCCCCAGAUCUGUCAGAACCCGGGGUACAUUAAAAAGCAACAUCUGGAGGAGUGCAAGUGAUAACUACCCGAACUAAGGAAAAGAAGGUUAAAAAGGUUCACGGGGAACCUGGAGCCUAUCCCAGGGAGCACCGGGCACGAGGCGGGGUACACCCUGUGUGCCAGUUCAUCGCAGGGCACAAUCACAUACACACACUGACACUCAUACACUACGGACAAUUUAAACAUGCCAAUCAGCCUACCACGCAUGUCUUUUGACUGGGGGAGGAAGCCGGAGUACCCGGAGGAAACCCCCGCACACAUAUGGCCCUGGCGGGACUCGAACCUGCCAGGAGGUGUGAGGUGAACGUAUAAGAAUUCACCAUGAACUUUUCCACAUUUUAUAGUCUUUUAUCCAAUCAUGUGAAACUGUAACUGCGCAUAGUUGAAGUCCAUCCAAUUAAUUACAGAAUGUGAUUUCUGAUGACAACUGGUUGCACCUGAACUAAUUUCACACUAGGGAUAUGUACUUAAUCAUUAUUUGUAAAUAAGUUUGCAAAUGAGUUUGACUUUUAAUCCCA